rnacentral:rRNA from 1 species
AUAGCGUAUAUUAAAGUUGUUGCAGUUAAAAAGCUCGUAGUUGAAUUUCGGGGUUAGCAGGUCGGUCGUGCCAUCGGUAUGAACUGGUCUCGCUGAUCCCUCCCUCUUGACGAACUGUGAUGCCAUUAAUUUGGUGUCGCAGGGAAUCAGGACUGUUACUUUGAAAAAAUUAGAGUGUUUAAAGCAGGCUCACGCUUGAAUACAUUAGCAUGGAAUAAUGAAAUAGGACGUUUGAUCCUAUUUUGUUGGUUUCUAGGAUUGACGUAAUGAUUAAUAGGGAUAGUUGGGGGCAUUAGUAUUCAAUUGUCAGAGGUGAAAUUCUUGGAUUUAUUGAAGACUAACUACUG